UCCCCAUUAACAAUUUCUUCAACUUCUCUCCAAUUCCUAUGAUUUGAUUUCCAAAAAAAUUAAUUCCCUAAAUUAUGGCACUUCCAAUUACUCCGGUUUACAUUUUUAAUUUGACUAAAUUAUUUCCGGUUCAUCAAUAUAGCAAUUUCGAUUAGUUGCAUUUUAAAGGGAAAAGAAUUGUUGUUUAAAGUGCUCAUUUGUUCUAUUUUUCGUUUGACAAUUGUUCAAUUCAAGUUCCACCAUUUAUUAUGAGCUAUUACAUUGAAGUAACGAACCUGGGGAGAAGCCAUUAGUAGCAACAAAGAUUUCUUCAAAGGAGUAACAUUUCCAAGUGGGUUUUUUAGCAAAAAGAUGGGGUUCAAGGUCAGGAAACUUGAGUUUAUUAUUAUUGUAAUCUUCUUCAAUUCCAGAAUCUUCUAAACUGCUGCUACUGCUGCUUGUACUACGACGUCCUAUCGAAAACAACCGCUUCAAACUUCCAGAUCGAAUGUAGUACUUCAUCGAUUUCCCCUGUUUUUUAUUUAUUUCCUUAAGAAACUCUGUUUUAUGUAAGGAUUUAAGGGGACAAUAACAUUGAUAUUAUGAGUCAAAUGAAUGUUUGAAUGUUUGAAUGUUUAGGAGAGAGGAAGAGAGAGAGAGAAGGGGUGGUGAAGGGGUGAAUGGAGUAAUUAAAUUGAGAUAUGAAGAAAUGUGAAGUUGGUGUUGUUAGUUGGUUCUUUUAAAUGCAGAGGAAGAACAAAAGGAGAAAGUAGGGGAGAACAGUUCACGUCCAAGAAAGUUGUGUCUUUGUAUGUGUAA